rnacentral:rRNA from 1 species
CCCUUAGAUGUCCGGGGCCGCACGCGCGCUACACUGAAGGAAUCAGCGUGGCUUUCUCCCUGACCCGAAAGGGUUGGGAAACCCGUUGAAUCUCCUUCGUGAUAGGGAUUGGGGCUUGAAAUUGUUCCCCAUGAACGAGGAAUUCCCAGUAAGCGCGAGUCAUAAGCUCGCGUUGAUUACGUCCCUGCCCUUUGUACACACCCCCCGUCGCUACUACCGAUUGAACGGUUUAGUGAGGGCCUCGGAUUGGUCUCGGCCCGCUCUUUACCGGGCGGCGCCGUUGGUCGAGAAGACGCUCGAACUUGAUCGUUUAGAGGAAGUAAAAGUCGUAACA